rnacentral:rRNA from 1 species
GACGAACGCUGGCGGCGUGCUUAACACAUGCAAGUCGAACGGAAAGGCCCUGCUUUUGUGGGGUGCUCGAGUGGCGAACGGGUGAGUAACACGUGAGUAACCUGCCCUUGACUUUGGGAUAACUUCAGGAAACUGGGGCUAAUACCGGAUAGGAGCUCCUGCUGCAUGGUGGGGGUUGGAAAGUUUCGGCUGUUGGGGAUGGACUCGCGGCUUCUCCGCUUGUUGGUGGGGUAGUGGCUUACCAAGGCUUUGACGGGUAGCCGGCCUGGGAGGGUGACCGGCCACAUUGGGACUGAGGUAGGGCCCAGCCUCCAACGGGAGGCAGCGGGGGGGAAUAUUGCACAACGGGGGGAAGCCUGAUGCAGCAACGCCGGGUGCGGGAUGACGGCCUUCGGGUUGUAAACCGCUUUCGCCUGUGACGAGGCGUGAGUGACGGUAAUGGGUAAAGAAGCACCGGCUAACUACGUG